rnacentral:rRNA from 1 species
CUCAAGAUAAGCCAUGCAUGUCUAAGUAUAAGCAAUCUAUACUGUGAAACUGCGAAUGGCUCAUUAAAUCAGUUAUCGUUUAUUUGAUAGUACCUUACUACUUGGAUAACCGUGGUAAUUCUAGAGCUAAUACAUGCUAAAAACCCCGACUUCGGAAGGGGUGUAUUUAUUAGAUAAAAAACCAAUGCCCUUCGGGGCUCCUUGGUGAAUCAUGAUAACUUAACGAAUCGCAUGGCCUUGCGCCGGCGAUGGUUCAUUCAAAUUUCUGCCCUAUCAACUUUCGAUGGUAGGAUAGUGGCCUACCAUGGUAUCAACGGGUAACGGGGAAUUAGGGUUCUAUUCCGGAGAGGGAGCCUGAGAAACGGCUACCACAUCCAAGGAAGGCAGCAGGCGCGCAAAUUACCCAAUCCCGACACGGGGAGGUAGUGACAAUAAAUACUGAUACAGGGCUCUUUUGGGUCUUGUAAUUGGAAUGAGUACAAUUUAAAUACCUUAACGAGGAACAAUUGGAGGGCAAGUCUGGUGCCAGCAGCCGCGGUAAUUCCAGCUCCAAUAGCGUAUAUUAAAGUUGUUGCAGUUAAAAAGCUCGUAGUUGAACCUUGGGCCUGGCUGGCCGGUCUGCCUCACCGCAUGUACUGGUUCGGCCGGGCCUUUCCUCCUGGGGAUCCGCAUGCCCUUCACUGGGUGUGUUGGGGAACCAGGACUUUUACUUUGAAAAAAUUAGAGUGUUCAAAGCAGGCCUUUGCUCGAAUACAUUAGCAUGGAAUAAUAGAAUAGGACGUGCGGUCCUAUUUUGUUGGUUUCUAGGACCGCCGUAAUGAUUAAUAGGGAUAGUCGGGGGCAUCAGUAUUCAGUUGUCAGAGGUGAAAUUCUUGGAUUUACUGAAGACUAACUACUGCGAAAGCAUUUGCCAAGGAUGUUUUCAUUAAUCAGUGAACGAAAGUUAGGGGAUCGAAGACGAUCAGAUACCGUCGUAGUCUUAACCGUAAACUAUGCCGACUAGGGAUCGGGCGAUGUUAUUCUUUUGACUCGCUCGGCACCUUACGAGAAAUCAAAGUCUUUGGGUUCUGGGGGGAAUAUGGUCCCAAGGCUGAACU